rnacentral:rRNA from 1 species
UCCUACGGGGGGCAGCAGUGGGGAAUAUUGCACAAUGGGGGAAACUCUGAUGCAGCGACGCCGCGUGAGCGAUGAAGUAUUUCGGUAUGUAAAGCUCUGUCAGCAGGGAAGAAAAUGACGGUACCUGACUAAGAAGCCCCGGCUAACUACGUGCCAGCAGCCGCGGUAAUACGUAGGGGGCAAGAGUUAUCCGGAUUUAUUGGGUGCAAAGGGAGCGUAGACGGCUGUGAAAGCAAGAUG